AGGGGUUCGACACACAUCUGAAUCUCUUCACACAAAGAGUGGAUUUACUUGAGCAGCUGUCAGGCUUAGUACCAACCAGCAGGAACGUGACCUUUUAUGAGGACAACCGGGGAUGUCCAGUGCUGGACAUUGGCCUGUAUUCCACACUUACUAUGCCCACCCAGGAAGCAUUUGGAUCAAGCUUUGCAGAUGAAUUCAGUGUGCUGAUUCAGUUGCAGAGCUCACAGGAAGAGGACCGGAGUGUGUUGACUUUGCUGAAUUUCUAUAAUCACAUUUUACUCCAGAUCCGUAUAGGUCCACACAGCAUCACCUUCAUCACCACACAGCACCGUGACUAUGAGUACAAACACCAUUUAACACAUGCCUCUGCUCUGAGCAGUCAGCUUUAAGCUUUAUUGAAAUAACAUUGUUCUUAUAAUAUUUGAAAUCUGAACAUGAGGUGUUUUCCUCUGGCUUCAGGUUUUCAGUGUCAGGACUGUCUGACUCGCAGUGGCACUGGAUCUCGGUUGGGGUUGCAUUUGAAUGGCUGGCUGUCUAUGUGGACUGUGUGCUGGUGGAGAAAGUGAGCUGGAUGUACCCGUACAUGAGUAUCACUACAGAUGGCUUGCUGAUGGUGGGGGGAAUCCUGGAGGGAUUUGAGACACCUUUAGAGGGAGAGUUGAGACAGAUGACCUUCAUAAUGGGAGAUGCAAAUGCAGCCAAGGAUCAUUGUGUUCUUCAUCAGCACUUGUGUGAACCAAUGAAAGGACGCAGCUUUCUAAAGACAGAAAGUAGCACUGAGAACUACAGUGUCUCUUCUAAGAAUGAAGAUCUUCAUAGUAAAUGGGAAAUUUCAUCUUAUCUGAACAGAACUUCAAAGCAUUCACUCCAUGGUUUUGUAGUGGUGGACGAGUCUGACCUUCUCACGUCUCCCGCCAUCAGCACACAUAGCAGGUAUAAGGACACCAGGGACAAAAAGAUCCAGUCCACCACCUCUCAAAAACUGAAAGCAGAUUUUGGUGCAGGCCAUCUUGAGCGGCUCCCUUUGAAGCCCUCUAGGGACAUUGCUGACCUGGAUUCUAUUUUGAAUGUGAAGACAUCAGCUGGUCAUCAGCUGGAUCUUGUCUGGCCUACAGUCCAUCCUGAGUUAAACCAGCUGACUGAAGAAGGUUUCUUACUUCCUUCGAAGAGCUUCGAUUUAGUUAAAAAGCCUUUGGUCAGUGUUCACUCAAUAAAAGGAUAUGAAUCACUUGUAGGAAAUGGACAAGCUGACUACAAGCACUCAAGCAAGAAAAGAGUUGCAUUUAAACAUGGUGAUGUUAUAUUAGGCAUGGAUGGAAGGAGAUACCAGCUCCUCAGUGGACCUCCAGGGCCUGUUGGACCACCAGGCAAAAGAGGGUGUGCAGGGAAAAGGGGCUAUAUUGGAUACAAGGGUGUUAAGGUGAGGAAUUUACAUUUCAUACAACUCAUUACAUUGUUGUGCUCGGAUGGCAUCCCACUGAUUUGUAUCUGUGUGUCCUACAAGGGUUCUCAAGGAGUCCGAGGAGCAGAUGGGCCAAGGGGCAUAUCAGGACCUCCAGGUCCACCAGGACUCCCAGUCCUCUACCUUUGGAGGAACACAGAGGAGGAUUGGGCCGCAUUUAGGAGAACAUCUUAUUACCAGUUGCUGGCGGCUGGAUGGCCAGUAAGUAUUUGA
ensembl:lncRNA